CCUCCCCCACCCAUCCCACCUUCAUCUUCUUCCCCAUUCUUAACACAUCUACAACUUUCAGAUGAUUUAUGAGGUCCACCCCUAAUCUUCUUCCUCCUUUCACCACUCACCACCAUCAUCUCCCCCUUCAACCCACCACCACCUCCAUUAUCACCUUCAACCAGUGGCGGAUUCAAGAACUUUUCCAGUGGGUUCGUUUUGGUAGGUUCUCACUAACUUUUUUCAAAUCAUACAAGGUUCUUACUAUUUUUUCUAUUUUUCUCCAAACCGAGUGGGUUCAUGUGAACCCACAAAAGAGGGCUGGAUCCAGCACUGCCUUCAACCCACCGCCUCCAUCUCUAUCAUCAUGUUGACCAUUGUUGAUGAUCCCAGUUGACACUCUCAUUGAGGAAAGGCUUACCGAGGAACCGAUUAACGAGUAUGUCUAGAGUUGUGAUAUUGUGGCCUUCAACAAGAUCUAGUGCAUCAAUGGUGGACUGGAUGCUACUGUGAAGCAUGGCGGCUUAUUUUUGUUUUAUUGUGUUUCAUCCUCUCAAGGAAAAUUAUCUAUCAGACUUCUUGUUUCAGUUUUGAGUUUUGAAUAUUACUUUUUUUAUUGUUUAUUUAGUAUUUUGUUGAGAUACAUUUUGGUGGUGUCAAGAUGAUGUUAUUUGCAAGAA